CUUGUCUUUGCCUUUAUGCGCAUUCUCUCCUUUAAUGCUCAAGGCAGUCUCAUGAAGUAGCAUCAUUUUACAGAAUAGGAAACAGGUCUUAAGAAGUCAUCCCCUAUCACAGAGAUUCAAAAAUAGGCCGGGUGUUGUGGCUCAUGCCUGUAUUCCCAGCACAGGGAUGCCAAGGCAGGAGGAUCACUUAAGGUCAGUAGUUUGAGACCAGCCUGGCCAACAUGGCAAAACCCCCAUCUCUACCCAAAAAUAGAAAAAGCAGCUGGACGUAGUGGCAUGUGCCUGUAGUUACAGCUACUUGGGAGGCUGAGGCAUGAGAAUCGCUUGAGCCGGGGAGGCAGAGGUUGUAGUGAGCCCAGAUCAUGCCACUGCACUCCAGCUUGGACGAUAGAGUCUUCAAAAAAAUAAAAAAAUAAAUAAAAUAAAUAUAUAUUCACCAUGAUUUUUUCUAUUAAUUUUAUAAUAUUAUCUUUCAGUGGUCUUUAAUACAGCUGGAAUCCAAUUUCAUGUGUAGUAUUAGAAAUCUAGGUUUCUUUUUCUCUGCACAGCAGACGAGUUUUUCUAAUGCCACUUACUAAAUAUACCAUCAUUCUCCCACUAAUUUGUGUUGAUAUUUUAUCUUAUAUUAAGUCCCUAAUAUAUUAUAUGAUGAUACAUCAGUUUCCUAUGAUUCUCUUUCUGGGACCUCUCUCCUGCCUCUCUGGUCUACUUGUCUGUUCUUGCACUGAUCCCACCCUUUUUUAAAAACACUGAUUUUGUUUUGUAGCAUGUCUUAAUAUCGAGUAGGGCGAGGAGCUUAUUUCUUGCACCGCCACAGCCGCAUUUUUCUCACCACUUACAUCACCAUGCAGGAAAUACACUGAUCUCCUCCACCCUUAAUGGGAACAAUUUACAGACAUCUGUCCCCUCCUGGUUCUGGAUCCAGCCUCCAUGUUAAAAAGACAUCUUCAUCCAGGAAAAGAAAGUCAAGGCUGCCCAGGAAAAUCUGCACAAUGUCUUAGCUCAUCUUUCAGUUUCCAGAAGCUUCAUUUCCCAUACCAUCCUCUCUAUAUCGGCAUAUAGAAAACCAACUACGGUAGCCCGGACACCCAAGAUUGUAUUCUGCCUGUUCCAAGCCCAGAUGUAGGAAGUCCAUGCAUGGAGCUCCGAAGGAAAUCAUCAGAAAUGUGAGCUGCUUUCUGUAAUCCCAUCUUUAUCCUGCGGCUUUUAUUCUCAUCAUGCAAGGUGGCUGGUCCGUCUCCAGGCACCCAUAUUCCAGUUUGCCCUUCUCCUUUCGGCCACCCUGUGAAGAAGGACAUGUUUGGUUCCCCUUCUACCAUGAUCGUAAGUUUUCUGAGGCCUCCCCAGCCAUGCUGAACUAUGAGUCAAUCAAACCUCUUUCCUUUAUAAAUUACCCAGUCUUAGGUAGUAUCUUUGCAGCAACUUGAGAAUGGACUAAUACAAUAACCUACCUCCCGUUUCUACCCUGGCCAACAAGCAGCUCC
rnacentral:lncRNA from 10 species